UUGAGCAAUGAUGACGAAUGCUAUACCCAGCUCUAUGAGACCUUUCGUAGGCCAGGGAAUUGAUUUGUUGAACAUUUAUCUGAGCUUUCAU